rnacentral:lncRNA from 1 species
AUCUCGGGGAGUAUAUGGAGGAGGCAAAAUGCAUAGAGCUGAAUCAGAAGGAGCCUUCACCAUGGAUUCUAUCUUGAACUUCUUGUUUAACUCUAGGGGUUCUCUACAAGCCAUUGUCUCCGGGCAAACUUGGACGGCGCCGGGAGGUACUGUUGGUUUAUAAGUCAUGAGCUUUGAAUAUUCAUUCAACAUAUGAAACAUGUAGUCAUAAAUAUUCUUCAUCUUUAACCCCUCUUGUAUGAAUUUGCUCCCCUCUCUUCCAAUUUUUUGAGCCUUCAAGUCACAAAAUUGAGUUAAAAAAGAAAGUACAUAAAUUUCUCUUUCAAGUGUUUUAAGAUUUGGUAGAGCUCAACAGUCUGUCUGUGAUAUUAAUAAUCUGACCAAUACAGUGUCUACAUACAGAUAAAGGAUAAUCUCUUUUUACGUAAUACUGUAUUAGUCAAUUAAUCAAUUUACUAAAAAAUUAAUUUUAUAGUAACUAAAUUCAGUAUUCACCUUUUUUGGGUGGCUAUUUCCCCAGUCAACCGCAAAUUUAAUUGAUUUGCACGUGUCUUUAGUGUUUGUCGGCCAGUAGUGCACCAAAGGUUGUAACCUCUUGUAAAGAAAUCAUAGUACCGAGGAUUAAUGAGAAGAGUCAAAGAAUCGCAGGCUAGAAUAUAUUUUUCACUAACACACCAUGCUUUUCCUUCUACAUAAAUCUUGUAUCUAAACAAAUUAAGGCCAAGAAAAAGAGGUUAAUUAAUAACAAAUAUAUAUAUAUAUAUAAUUAUGUGAUAAAAUGAACAUGAAUUAUAAUGUAGGACUAGAUUCAGAAACUACUGAAUUAAAUUUGGUACCUAUGAGUGCAUUGAUCUGCUAAAUUUGAAUGUUUGAAUCCUUUGUUUGUCUCAUCUAUCCAAUCCUGCAAAAUUGCUAAAGUUUUACCAUAUUUGCAGGUAAAAUGAUAAUUCACCAAUAAAAUAUUUAAGAAUGUGUCAAAUGUAUGUAAAGAUUGCUACAUGUUGUAUUCGGAAUCAAAAUCAAAAUCAAGUGUAAAAGAGUCUGGUUUUGAACUUUCAAAAAACUUCGAAAAAAUAUACUCAUAGAACUUCGAAUCUACACUAUAUCAAUAAUAAUUAACGAGCUCCUCUCAAGUUUGUUAGAUUUAUAAAAUAGAUAUAAAGUCUAGUAUAUAAAUUAACUCAAAACCAAUUAGUAAGAAGAAGAGUUGACCUAAUUUAUUAUAAAUUAGACAUUUUUUUAAGAUAUUCAAUGUGGGAUUGCGGGUAAAAAUCAAGACUAAGAAGAGUGUUUAAGAGUAAUAUUGUUACUAUCACAUAUGCAUGAGUGUAUGUGAACAAUUUUUAUGUGAUAGUAAAUUUAUUGAGUGUUUAAUUAGGCCUAAGAAUAACCGCUCUGAUCAUAUUAGAUUUAUAAAAUGGGUGGGUCCAAAAUCUAGCAGUAUAUGAACACAUCAAGCUCUGUAACUCAAAACUAAUUUAUAUUGAGAAGAGUUGACCCAAGUCAUUAUAAUCUAGACAUAUUUUCUCAACGUAUUCAAUGUGGGGCAAGAUAAUUAUAUACUUUAACAAAGUUUUACACCCUAUAUAUAAAACUUGAGAUGAAAUAAAAGUUGUAAAAUUCUCCCUCUCACGGUACAACUUUUUUUACGCGGAAUAUAAAAGUUUCAAAAACUCUCUCCCUCGUAUAAACAUAAAACUCACUCAUACCUUCUCUCAACUUUUAUGAUCGAAUACUACAUGACUUUUGGUUGUACUACACUUUAAUAACUAAACAUAUAAGAGUACUAUUUAUAAGUACCCACAAUUAUUUUCUUCCUAGUUAUUCAAUAUAGGACACUUUCAAAAUAAUACUUCUAUAAAAAAUAAGAUUCUUUCUCAAAAUAAGACUCCAACAUAUAUUAAAAAUAACAAAUCUUUUCUGAAUAGGAUUCAAGAAUUAUCCCAACAAUUUCUCCCUCUACUCGAAUUCUCGAACACUAAAACUUCAUGUCUGUCCUAAUAAUUAUAUAAUUUUGUCGACACUACCUCAUAACACAUGACCUUCAGAAUCUUUGUAAUAAAUUCUUACAUCUUUUGAUCUCUGCUACAAUUAAAGUAUACCCAAAGAGCAUGCAUGCUCUUUUAGUUAAAAAUGACAAAGGAGAGUAGUUAUAAGUACCAGUCGGUAUAGUCGAGCAUUCCAGUCAUGUUUGUCAGUGACGCUGCAUUUCAUGAGUUCGCGUCUGUUUCGACUGACCCGUGCAUUCCCUUGCCAAUAAGCAUAAGGUUCUCUCUUCCACCAUUUCAUUCUCUUGCUUCCUUCUUUUAACUCAUUUUUCAAACACACCCAUGGCUUUAUAUUGAUCUCCGGCCUAGGAACCAAAAACAAAGCAAACUAAUUAAGAAAUGUAACAUGCUAUAUAUAUAUAUAUAUAUAUAUAUAUUGAGUCUAAUCGGCUAAAAAUUAAUAUAUGUAACGGGACUCAACAUUUAAUUAUGACGUGUUAAUUAAUGAUAUCGUCUGAACUUAUAAAAAAAGAAGAAAGAAUAAAUUAGGUCUAGUUAAAAUUUUAUAAUUAGGUCAUUCUGUUUAAUUAAUUGAACAGAAGUUAACUUAAUACCUACGAGACCGUUUUAACCAAGACAAGAAAAUAAAAUAAGUAACUUGAAAUAAAGACGAAAUAAAAGGGGAAAAAAUAUGAUGAUUUGUCUUCUUGCAUGUCCUUGUUUAUUUGUUCAAGCCAUUUAUUUUAAUCUACCAUGCAUGCAUGCAUGUAGGUAUAUAAUAAAUUAAUCAUACCAGCCCCAGAAUGACCAAUCAGGAAAAACCAAAUCCAAAGUCGAAUCAUCGGCACAAUAAUGAAACACUGGUGGUGGAGUAGAUGCUUUCAUUCCCAUAUAGUCUUUCUUUGGGAACCUUGGCUUGUCACCCAUGUCGAACAUGAAAUCCAGAUCCGGUAAUUUACCCGGAUAAAACUUUAGAAGUUGCAGUAAUCCCCAUACGGUAAAAACAUCUCUUGUUUGAUAAACAUAUGAAUACUGCUCUAGGUAAAGUUUUCCAUCUAAUAUCACUAUUCUCCUAUUUGCUUUGGGAAUUCCACUCUCCACAAUUUCUUUGGUUAUGCCUGUCUUUUGCCAUGUCCUUAAGUCCUCGUGAAUCCAUCGGAAAUAUUCAGGACAUUCCCCGGCCGAUGAGUUAUUGGUGUUGAUUAUUUUUGGAUAAUUUGUUGGGCAUGUUUGUGUAGUGUUUUCGGAAUAAGAGCAAUUGAGCUCAUAUUUAAAUUUUGCCUCUGUUGUUGUGGAAUUUCUAGAUGUUAAAAAUGACUUCUGAAACGAAGCCCCUGUGAAAAAGUACUGAAAAAAUAAAACUAGUUAAAGAGGAAUUGUUAUGACAAAUACUAUAAAUCAAUUCAGAAAGAUAAAAGACAAUAAUAUAACGUUUUACGUGAAAAUUUAAAUUAAAAAAAAAAAACAUCGAGAAAAGCAUAAGGAAUCUAAUACAAAGUUUUACCUGAAAACCCAAAUUAAAAAAAAAAUCACAGAGAAAGACAGAAGAAAUCCACUUAAUAAAAAUUUAAAGAAUACGAGAUAACUAUGAUAAUUAUUAGAAUAUUUCUGAAUUAUUAAAAUUUUCUUCUAAAGUUGGAAAGAUUUUGAAGAAAAUUUUCCAAACACGUAGAUUACAAAUUAAAAUACCAAAAUUACCCUUAUAAUAAUUUCUAAAAUGUAAUCUCAUAAGGUUAAAAUAAUAAUAUAUUAUUUUAAGUUAAAAUUUUCUUUUAAAACUCACAAACACAAAAAGAAAAAGCUUCAAUUCCGACGAAAUAUUCCAUCGGAAUGUCUGUUAGAUUUUAGUCUGUCGAAAAUUCGAUUGAAAAUACAUANNNNNNNNNNNNNNNNNNNNNNNNNNNNNNNNNNNNNNNNNNNNNNNNNNNNNNNNNNNNNNNNNNNNNNNNNNNNNNNNNNNNNNNNNNNNNNNNNNNNUAUAUAUAUAUAUAACUAGCUACCUUCCAAUUUCCAAAUUAACAAGGGGAUCCUAAUUUUCUGUUUCUUAUUUAAUUUCACUAUAUAUGUCCAAAUUACUUGGAACAAAAUAAUUAAGUGCAUGAUGAAAGAAAGAAAAACUUACGUGGUCUAGCCAGCGGGUGGCGAAAAGGGAUCCGAUGAACAUAAAUAUAAAAAAUAUGGUGGCAGUUGUUAAAGCUGCUCCUCCUUCCUUCAUAAUUAUCUGCCCAAUGGUUUUUGAAUAAUAUGAUUCAGCUUCAUAUAUCCAACCCACUCUUACUCUUAUUUGAUGCACCAUCAUAUUAUAUAUAUUUAAUGCAUGUUUGGCUUGUCUAAACUUGAAGAGAGAGGGGCUAGUUUGUUGAGAAUAAUUUCAGAAUUAUAUAUCCAAAUAAUUAAAUAAUUAUAUAUGAAGAAUGAUUCAUAUACUAUCAUCCAAUAUAAAAGUUAACGACUGAUAUUAGAAUUGAAAAUUAAUUUAAAUUUCGUAUUGGUACUAAAAAAUAGACAAACAUCGUCUCUAUCGUAUUGAUAUUAUAAUUCAAUUUUCGUAUUGAUACUAAAAAAUGACUUUAAAAUUAAUUUAAAUAUUUGGAAUUAAUAGAGAAAGUACUUUGUUUUAUUUUUUAAAAAUAUUUAUAUAUAUAUUAUAAAUCUUGGAGGACCUAAAAUAAAAAUAUCAAAAUUUAUAAGUUCAAAAAAUAUGCAGUCGUAUAAAAAAAAUGAGUGAAUGAUAUUGCACAUGAAUGUGUUUAUAUAAAAAUAUUUAUAUACUCUAGUGAAUAAAUAUUAAACGAUGACUACUACAUUAGAUAAAAAAAAGUAUUUCAUCCGUUUCAAAAUAAAAUAUUAUUAUUAACUUCAUAAAGUUAAUUUAAAAUAUUUUUAAACUCAUAAUUGACAUGAAUUUCUUUGAUUUUAAUUUAUACAAUGAUGAAUAUUGAAAAAUAUCAAAAAAAUAAUACUCCUUGUAACAUUUAUUAUUUCAUAAUUUUUAAUCAUCUCAAUUUUAAAUUUAAAAAUAUCUCACAGACUUCAAAAAUCUAUAAUAAUUUUAAAAUUUGGAAUGGAGCAAGUACAAUAUUUAUUGACGAUAUUUUUGUCCGUAGAUUUAAAUUUUUUGUUAAGAGACGAUUCUAGUUUGGAUUUAUAUAUUCCAUUUAAAGAGACGUACCAUAAAAGGCAAACAAAAUUUUACUAAACAACUUUAUCCUCUUAGCAAAUCAGAUGUGGAGCUGUUAAGAUAUAUUAAUUAGAGAUAAAUAAACACCACCUAAGGAAUACAUAACUAACUGGUUUGAUAGUAUUUUAAUGAUUGUUAAUUAUAUUUGUCAAUAAUCAUAUGGGUGAAUCGUUCAACUAAAAUUAAUAUAAUGAAUUUUUAGUAGAAUAUCAAUAUUAGAAAGAAAAAAUAUAUAUACCCAGUAAUCUUGAACUCAUGUCAAACAAUUACAGUAACAAUUAUCUGUAUAUAAGAAGUUAAGUUACUAACAAUAUUAAUUUAAGCCUUAUUUAAAUAAAUUUAAUUUAAUUCAAAUUUAAAAUUUGACUCAAAAUUUAUUUCGCAAUCCAGAUUUUAUCAAAGUUGUUUCAACUUACAACACAUUUUGUUUGUUUUCUUGAUGAUAUUCAUAGUUUCAAACAUGUCUAGAAGAUAACAACAUGAUUGAUUGUUUGUUAUGUUUUCUUUUUCUUUUUAUGGGGAAACCGGUUAAUUGGUUAUAUAUUAUUACUAUACCACCUACCAAAUUAUUUCGUGUUAAUUAAAAAUCUAACUGACUAAUCAUAAUUAACCCUUCUACAUCACGAGUUGCAUGCAACAUAUGUACGUCUCUUUAAAAUUAUGCUACUAAUUAAAUUACUCUAAUUAAGAUAAUAAUAAUAAUUUUUCAUAUGAACUUACAAGACAUUUUGUUUGUUUUUCUUGAUGAUAUUCAAAGUUUCAAACACGUCUAGGUGAUUGAUUGUUUUUUUCUUUUUUUUGGGGUAACCGAUUAAAUGGUUAUAGUGUUACUAUCUCACCUACCAAAUUAUUUUGUGUGAAUUAAAUAUCUAACUCACUAAUCAUAAUCAACCCUUCUAAACUCUGAUAAUUACUCUUUCCCGCUUCCCAUUUUCCUUCCUAAACUUUUUUAUUCUCUCUCUAUUCCAAAAUACAAUAUCAAUAUUAAUUUUUCUAAGUCAAUUUUGAUAUUUUUAAUUUUUGAAAAUAAUAAAUUAAAUAUUUGAUAGCAAACUUUUUAGAUGAGCCCGAUAUCUCAUCCCUUAAUGGUUCUCUCAUCGUUCCUUAAUAUAAGUCGUUUUAGAAAAUUGUUUUUGUUCCUUAAUAUAAGUCGUUUGAGAAUUUCAAGUAAACAUUAAUUGCUUAGUUUUCAAUAUUACCCCAAAUAAUAAAUAUAACUUUAGUUCUCUCACUAUUAACUUUGAUUCUUUCACUAUUGAGUCUACUGACUAUUGACUACAAUUAUAAUUUUUAAGCCUCUUUUUUUAUUUCGGUUAAUUACCGAAUAACAAAAAAACAAAAAUAAAACCCGAAACCAAAAAUUGGAUAUAACCGAAUUACUAAAAUUAACCGAAUAACCAAAAAAAUUCGGUUAAAAUAAUUCGGUUCGGUUAUUCGGUUUUAUCCGUAUUUUGUUCAGCCCUACAAUAAAUAACACUAUUUUUUCAAUACAAGAGUAAUAUAGACAAUUGAUAUUAUAUUUAAUAUUAUACAAUUAUUUUUGUAAUACUUGUACACAACUCUAAAAUUACUUAUAUCAAAGAAUAGAGGGAGUACUAUCGAGUAUAUUUCAUUUUAGUAUUAUGCCUCUAGUUGUUGAGCAUGAUAUUAUUCAAUAAAAUUCUGUCUUUUGACUGUUUUCUUGGAAAAAAAUUAUUAUCAUAAUCAUCAUCAUAACUAUUAUUAUAAAGACAAAUUUAACAUAUAAUUGAAAGGGCAGAUGACUCAUCUAUAAAAUUAAGGUUAAAUGGUUAAAUAUAUAUCCUCACAACUUAAUAUAAUAAAUCAAUAAUAUAAAAUUCAACACCAAAUCAAUUUAAAUCUUGCCAAGGAUUUAAUACUUAUACAACCGAGAAGAAUAAAAAUCUUGGAGUGGGGCCCUUACCAUUUAAGCCCAGAAAAAGAAACUUUUAUAUUAUAUGAACCCAAAAUACUACAUGCAAAAUUUAAAAUAUGUUCAUGCAUGGGACAACCCGGACAAGUAUGUCUCUCAUUCAUAUUUUUCCUGGUCUAUAUUAUGCGAGUUAUAAAUUUAUAAUAGUCUUAAUUAAAGAAUUUGUUUCUUAGGGGCAGAUGAGCUUUUGUAGAGCUACAAUAAUUACAAGUUUAGCUAGCGGCAUACUUGUAAUAGGAGAUACCGGAUUCGAUUAGCAUAAAAUUUAUUUUGUAGUAAGUUGAUCAAUUGGCCAAUAAAAUAUUGACACACACUGUGUGUCAGUACUUUAUUAGUCAAUUGACCAACUUACUUCAAAAUAAACUCCAUACUAACCGGUUCCGGAGAUACCAGAAUGACUUGACUUUGGGGUGAUUUCUCCGUCGAUAAAACUUUAUCCUUGGUCACUAUAUAGUCCAAUAGCAAAUUCAUAAGUUUUACUCGCAAUCAAAUUUUAAAAAAAGUAUCUUAUUUUACUGUGUAAAGUUACAGGUUCGAGUCUAUCCAUCACUAAUAAGUCAAAACUCAACAAAUACUUGUAAAUUUCCCUUAAGUUCCCGCCUAAUUCCAUUCCCAACUCAAAAUACAUAAAUCGUAAUCUUAUUGUAUUAUAAAACUUUCUUACGUCACGUCGCAAAUUUAACAAUUAAAUAACAUAUUUUUUUAUUUAUAAAAGGAAAGACAAACUACAAAAUACAGAUUAUAUAUAUCUAUGAAAGGUGAUUUCAUCAACUCUCUCAAUAAUGAAAAUAAGAACACCUAAACAAAAAUGUCAUAUCUUCAUUUAAAAAUUCACUUCUUUAGCUUUCCCACUUUUUUCCCACGUCUCCACUUCCUUUAUUAUUCUUGCUUUCUUAUCUCUUAAAGCAUGAAGAUCUCGGGGAGUAUAUGGAGGAGGCAAAAUGCAUAGAGCUGAAUCAGAAGGAGCCUUCACCAUGGAUUCUAUCUUGAACUUCUUGUUUAACUCUAGGGGUUCUCUACAAGCCAUUGUCUCCGGGCAAACUUGGACGGCGCCGGGAGGUACUGUUGGUUUAUAAGUCAUGAGCUUUGAAUAUUCAUUCAACAUAUGAAACAUGUAGUCAUAAAUAUUCUUCAUCUUUAACCCCUCUUGUAUGAAUUUGCUCCCCGCUCUUCCAAUGUUUUGAGCCUUCAAGUCACAAAAUUGAGUUAAAAAAGAUAGUACAUAAAUUUCUCUUUCAAGUGUUUGUCAUAGCUCAACAGUCUGACCGUGAUAUUAAUAAAUCCGGGCCAGAUCUUAAUCUCAUCCCAUAUCUAAUUCACCCGAGCUCACCCUCCCUUUAGCGACGGUCCCGACGACGGUUCAGUUAUACAACUGUCGUCUAUACUUUUAGCGACGGACAACAUAUAGCGUCGCUAAAAGCAUAGACGACGAUUGUAUGACCGAUGUUCGGUCCAUCACUAAAAGGGGGUGAGCUCGGGUGAGUUGAAUAAGGGGUGAGUUUAAGAUGCGGAUUCUAAUCUGACCAUAUUUUAUAUGAAAUGAUUAACAUGAAGUUAAUU